GGUCAGGGAGUCAGGCGCCCUGCUGUCAUCUCCGGGCAUCAAAUUUAAUAGCCAUCCGGACAGACAUUAACUAACAGAAGGAAGGAAAGGAUGAGCAGGAGAAGGCAGCAAUCCGCAGCUUCCCAUUUCAACAAUGCACCCCUCGAGCAUCUCCUAGAAGCAGUUCAUGGAUGUCCCCUUCCCCAUGGAUUGGCUGCAGGAGGCCAUCCCAGCUGACCGCUGCAGCCUGGGAGGUAGCCAGGGCGGUCAGCACCAGUGGGGUGCAGAGGAGGACCACCCUGCGCUGUAGGAAAAGGGUGAAUGACUUAAACUGCACUGCUAGGCACAUCUGAAGCAGACACAUGGGAACAACACCAUCUACAAGUUCUCUCCAAAUGACGCAGCAUUCUGACUUAGAAAUGUAUUGUCACUCCUUCACUGUCACUGGGUCAAAACCCUGGAAUUGGCUUUCGAACAGCACUGAAUAUUAGAGGGAUGUAGAUCACGAAGGAGAAAGAGAAUGAUGACAUUAGACAACUCAAAAUUGAAAAUGGGAGCCUCCGAAAGCAACUGAAGAAGAAAGUACAAGACCAUGAGGCAUGGAGAAACAAGCAGGAGAAAUUAGCAUAGGAUUUGCCCUUAGGCAGAUCACUACUACUGCAACACACUGUUCAUUGCAAUGCAGCAUUCCUCAAUAACAUUCUGGAGCCAGACAGAGGGCAUUUUGAUUAUACACAGGCCACUUAUAGUUUGACAAUACCAAACUGUUGUGACUGCUGAAAUGUAAUAAUGAUACCAAACUAUUGAUUAAAUGAAUGUAAAUCCAAUGGAUGUCAAGCUGUUUGCCGCUUGAUGGAUAUAUUUUGUAAAAUCUAUGGAAGCAUUCCAACUACACGCGUUUAAAACAUUGAGGGUUUUGUAAUGCAAGUUUCAACUUUAUUAAUUCAUCAGUUUAUUCAUAAUGUGCUUCAAUGGAUUUCACACACAGAUCUAUAUGAUAUUGUACAAAUUUUGAAGAAGUUUCAUAUCCAUAGUAAUUUUAGUAAAUAUAACAACCAGAGUGAUUAUAGUGUCAGCACUCAUCCAUCGGCAGAAUAUGAAGCCAGGCCCUAACAAGGAAUUCUUGAAUUAUGAUUUCUAUGAUAUGUUAGUGAAGGAUAUAAUGGAAUAGUAGCUAUCUCAAAGAUCUCACAGGGCUGAUAUUUGUUGGGUCGCUUACACUUUGUCACAAUGUGGAAAGUCUAAUAUUGUUAAAUCCAAAUGAAUUAAAACUAUGGUUAAUCCUUUGAAUGAUUUUUUUUAAAGGAACAAAUUAAAAUUUUGUUCCAAUAAUAGUAACUGUCUGUGUUAUAGUUUUUGUGUUCAACCACCGCCAAUUCCAAUACACAUUGGAGGUUACGCUAGUUAAGCUAAGAGUGAUUGAAGGAAAUCUAAACACUACUAAUAGGUGAAUAGUAAAGAAAGGACAACAGGAAAGUUCAGUCAUUAUUAACUUGGUAACUUUAAUUAAAUAUGAUCAGAUUUAUGUGCAACUUCCGUUUUGGUCAAACAAGGUAGCAGCAUAGUUAGCAUGAAUUGUUAAUUACUGUAGCUCUCUGUCUCUCCAGUAUGAUUCAUUAUAUAAAAGAGCUGUGUACGGUCUAGAAGCAAAGCUUACAUGUGAAGAAAAUCUAAGGAUUAAAAAUUAACAACGUAGGCUUUUCCUAGAUGUUGCAGUACCUGAGAUCAUGUUGAAGAGCAGGUUGUAAACUACAGAGUGAGCAAUGAACACCUGGGCAACAGGAACCAAAAAAUGGUAGAGAAGAUGCAGAAAUGGAGGGGAAAAGAAGAGGGAUCAAGAUGAAGGUGAGCCAGAAACAAAGGCUUUGGUGGUAACAGCAGAGAGAUCCUUAAACUGCAUUUCCAAUGAAGUUAGGAAAGCCGAUCUGUGAAGCCCCGAGGAAAUUCUCGGUAUGUCAUGCAAUUACUUAGCAAGAUUCAACAGAUAAUUAAAGCUAAUUCAGUUUUGCUCUCCACCCAUGCUGCCAGAUCUGCUGAGUAUUUCCAGCACUUUCUGUUUUAAUAUCAGAUUUCCAGCAUUUGCAGUAGUUUGCUUUUAUUUUGAUGUGUCUUUAUUAACAGGUUGAACUGGAUUUUAAUGCAAAGCCACCCUGAGAGAUGGGGGCGGUUGCUGAUAAUAAAUCUGCCAGUGGCUUUUUAACUGA